GCGGCGGACGGGUGAGUAACGCGUGAACAAUCUGUCCUAUACAGGGGGAUAAAACUUGGAAACAGGUGCUAAUACCGCAUAAGCCCACAGCCCGGCAUCGGGCAGGGGGAAAAGGGGCAACUCGGUAUAGGGUGAGUUCGCGUCCCAUUAGCUAGUUGGCGGGGUAACAGCCCACCAAGGCGACGAUGGGUAGCCGACCUGAGAGGGUGAUCGGCCACACUGGAACUGAGAAACGGUCCAGACUCCUACGGGAGGCAGCAGUGGGGAAUAUUGGGCAAUGGGGGAAACCCUGACCCAGCAACGCCGCGUGAGGGAAGAAGGCUUUCGGGUCGUAAACCUCUGUCCCAUGGGAAGAGAUAGAGACGGUACCAUGGGAGGAAGCCCCGGCUAACUACGUGCCAGCAGCCGCGGUAAUACGUAGGGGGCGAGCGUUGUCCGGAAUGACUGGGCGUAAAGGGCGCGUAGGUGGCCUUUCAAGUCUGGAGUGAAAGUCCCGUUUUUAAGGUGGGAAUGGCUUUGGAAACUGAGAGGCUUGAGUGUGGGAGAGGAUAGCGGAAUUCCCGGUGUAGCGGUGAAAUGCGUAGAGAUCGGGAGGAACACCAGUGGCGAAGGCGGCUAUCUGGACCAAGACUGACACUGAAGCGCGAAAGCGUGGGUAGCAAACAGGAUUAGAUACCCUGGUAGUCCACGCGGUAAACGAUGGAUGCUAGGUGUAGGAGGUAUCGACCCCUUCUGUGCCGGAGUCAACACAAUAAGCAUCCCGCCUGGGGAGUACGGCCGCAAGGUUGAAACUCAAAGGAAUUGACGGGGGCCCGCACAAGCAGCGGAGCAUGUGGUUUAAUUCGAAGCAACGCGAAGAACCUUACCAGGUCUUGACAUCGAUGGAACCUGUAGAGAUACGGGGUGCCCUUCGGGGCCCUGAAGACAGGUGGGUGCAUGGGUUGUCGUCAGCUCCGUGUCGUGAGAUGUUGGGGUUAAGUCCCGCAACGAGC
rnacentral:rRNA from 1 species